rnacentral:rRNA from 1 species
UACGAAGGUGGCAAGCGUUGUUCGGAUUUACUGGGCGUACAGGGAGCGUAGGCGGUUGGGUAAGCCCUCCGUGAAAUCUCCAGGCUUAACCUGGAAAGUGCAGAGGGGACUGCUCGGCUAGAGGAUGGGAGAGGAGCGCGGAAUUCCCGGUGUAGCGGUGAAAUGCGUAGAGAUCGGGAGGAAGGCCGGUGGCGAAGGCGGCGGUCUGGAACAUUUGUGGCGCUGAGGCUCGAAAGCGUGGGGAGCAAACAGGAUUAGAUACCCUGGUAGUCCACGACUUAAACGAUGGAUACUAAGUGUCGGCGGGUUACCGACGGUGCCGCAGCUAACGCAGUAAGUAUCCCGCCUGGGACGUACGGCCGCAAGGUUGAAACUCAAAUGAAUUGACGG